rnacentral:lncRNA from 1 species
AUGGUAAGAAGUCAAGUCUGAGUCAUCUCAGAAUUUGGGAUUGUCUGGCUCAUGUCAAGAGACAGUAGGCGGACAAGUUAGAGUUCAAAUCUUUUAGAGCUCGAUUCAUAGUAUAUCCUAAAGAGUCAUUAGGAUACUAUUUCUAUAUUUUGGAAGAUCACAAUGUGAUUAUGAUCGAUAUGCUAUUUUUCUUGAAAAAUAAUUUAUUCAAGAUAGUGGCAUCGAAAGAAUAAUUAAGCUCAAAGAGAAUGUCUCCCAAGAGCAACGAGCUAAAGAAUCUGAGGAACCCAAUCAAUUAGAACCAGUCCUAACACAACCUCUUCCACCUCAU